rnacentral:rRNA from 1 species
AGCAGCCGCGGUAAUUCCAGCUCCAAUAGCGUAUAUUAAAGUUGUUGCAGUUAAAAAGCUCGUAGUUGAAUUUCGGGAUUUGUCAGUUGGUCGGGCUUCACUGUCCGUAUUGACUUGAUGGAUUCUUACCUUCUGAAUAACCAGCAUGCUAUUAAGUUAGUGCGUUGGGGAAGCAGAUCUAUUACCUUGAAAAAAUUAGAGUGCUUAAAGCGAGCUAGUGCUUGAAUAGAUUAGCAUGGAAUAAUAAAAUAGGACGGCAUGGUUCUAUUUUGUUGGUUUCUAGGAUCACCGUAAUGAUUAAUAGGGAUAGUUGGGGGCAUUAGUAUUCAAUUGUCAGAGGUGAAAUUCUUGGAUUUAUUGAAGACUAACUUCUGCGAAAGCAUUUGCCAAGGAUGUUUUCAUUAAUCAAGAAUGAAAGUUAGGGGAUCGAAGACGAUCAGAUACCGUCGUAGUCUUAACCAUAAACUAUGCCGACUAGGAAUCGGACGAUGUUAAUUUUAUAAUGACUCGUUCGGCACCU